UACGUACCGUACGAACGUUAUUCGGAAUUACUGGGCUUAAAGGGUUUGUAGGCGGCCUUGUAAGUCAGGUGUGAAAUCCCUCGGCUCAACCGAGGAAUAGCGCUUGAUACUGCAAGGCUUGAGGGAGACAGGGGUAAGCGGAACUGAUGGUGGAGCGGUGAAAUGCGUUGAUAUCAUCAGGAACACCGGUGGCGAAAGCGGCUUACUGGGUCUCUUCUGACGCUGAGACGCGAAAGCGUGGGGAGCGAACAGG
rnacentral:rRNA from 1 species